UCCUCCGUGGCGCAAUUGGCUAGCGCGUCUGACUGUUAUUAUGCCGCCGAGGCAGGAGCAAUCAGGAGGUUGACAGUUCAAGCCUGUCCGGGGGAG